UUUUUUUUUACACACUACUCUUAGGUUUGCCACCUGACUGGUAUUUUACUGGCACAGCCGGUAUUUGAGGCUGCCUGGCCAUGCCGGUAUUGCAGUAAUACCGGCAAUACAAAUGCAGGUAUUUUUCUCAGAAUAAAUGGAGAUUACUCUGCAAUACCAGCACCGGCCAGUAGGGGUCACUGUGUGUGGAGAGAGGCAGGGAUAGGAAGUUACAGCAUAUCCCUGCCUCUCUCUACUACUCACUGAUCCGUGGGGGAGCAGCAACACAGCACAGAGAGUCCAG